rnacentral:rRNA from 1 species
AGUGAACGCUGGCGGUAGGCCUAACACAUGCAAGUCGAACGGCAGCACAGUAAGAGCUUGCUCUUACGGGUGCGAGUGGCGGACGGGUGAGGAAUACAUCGGAAUCUACUUUUUUGUGGGGGCUAACGUAGGGAAACUUACGCUAAUACCGCAUACGACCUACGGGUGAAAGCAGGGGAUCUUCGGACCUUGCGCGAUUGAAUGAGCCGAUGUCGGAUUAGCUAGUUGGCGGGGUAAAGGCCCACCAAGGCGACGAUCCGUAGCUGGUCUGAGAGGAUGAUCAGCCACACUGGAACUGAGACACGGUCCAGACUCCUACGGGAGGCAGCAGUGGGGAAUAUUGGACAAUGGGCGCAAGCCUGAUCCAGCCAUACCGCGUGGGUGAAGAAGGCCUUCGGGUUGUAAAGCCCUUUUGUUGGGAAAGAAAAGCAGCAGGUUAAUACCCCGCUGUUCUGACGGUACCCAAAGAAUAAGCACCGGCUAACUUCGUG